rnacentral:sRNA from 1 species
GGGUUUUGUAUGCAUGA